UUUUUUUUUUUUUUUUUUUUGGCUUCCGGGCGCGGCGUUUUCAGUCUCGUGUGUGUUUAACUGUAUUUAAUAUAUAUGUUUGCUCUUCUCUCGUUUUCUUUACGAAUGAACCUGCCCUUCCGCCUGGCGCGCCCCAGACCUCCCCCGCAUCGCAGGCACCCGGUCGGGUGCAGGCGAGCGCACGCAGGCGGUUGAAGACGCCGGUCCUGGUGCCGCUGGGAUGCGCGGGGCCGCGGGGAGACGACGACGAGGGAGCCGGGCCUCCAGCUCAAGGUCUGCCGGAGCCACUAACCCUGUGGAUCUAACGCGCAGCCGGUGUCUCGGCUCCCCAUCUUGCCGCCACUCUGCACCGGGGUGGGUUUCUUUUCAGGAAGGCCCUUCCCGAAGGAAGUCUGAGGCUUUUGAGGACGAUUUGCCAGGGCAGGCCCUUUAAUGGAGCGAGAUGUGUGGCCCCAGCCUCAGCUCCUCAUGCUUCCAAGAGCAACACUGAGAGGUGUGGACCAGUGGGAGUGAGUGGCAGGCCCUCCCGCAGCUGUUGGGCACCUGAGCCCCCCACAAGCCCAUUCCUGAUCCUUCUCUCAUCUCAAAAUCGGGCCUGAUGGCACCUGUAUCACAUCUUGGAAGCACCAGAGACAAGAAUCACAGAGAAAGCUUAUGGCUGCACCCUGCUGCUCUGCCAAGCACCGGGCCCGAGCCAUGGCCGCAUGAAUACGCUCAUUUGAGGGCACUGAAUCCACAGGUGACGUUCACAUCCAUGCGGGCAAGCCAGACAAUUAAGCGUCGCCCUGAGACACACCCCUUUCCUUCGGCAGCCACCUCCAUGGGGUCAGCAACCCCUGCCAAGCUUACCCCUGAACAGCCACCAGCAAAUCUACUGCUCGCUGUCUCCUGCUGUCCUGGAUCACGGCGACAGCCUCCUGGUAACGACGCUACUGAAUCUGGGAUUAGCCACCCUUUGUCUUCCGAGUGAGUACUCCCUGAACCAUAUGUAGUUCAAGGUGGGAAGUUAUAGUGCAUUUAUUUCUGAAAGUUGCAAUUUCCCCCUCCUAGUUGUGUCUAGAGAUUCACACACACACACACACACACAAGACACACACACAGAGAGAGGAAUAUUAUACAGCAAUAAAAAUGAAUGACAAUAAAAUUACCCUACUCA
rnacentral:lncRNA from 1 species